AUGAACGCUGGCGGCGUGCCUAAUCCAUGCAAGUCGAGCGAACGGACGAGAAGCUUGCUUCUCUGAUGUUAGCGGCGGACGGGUGAGUAACACGUGGAUAACCUACCUAUAAGACUGGGAUAACUUCGGGAAACCGGAGCUAAUACCGGAUAAUAUUUUGAACCGCAUGGUUCAAAAGUGAAAGACGGUCUUGCUGUCACUUAUAGAUGGAUCCGCGCUGCAUUAGCUAGUUGGUAAGGUAACGGCUUACCAAGGCAACGAUGCAUAGCCGACCUGAGCGGGUGAGCGGCCACACUGGAACUGAGACACGGUCCAGACUCCUACGGGAGGCAGCAGUAGGGAAUCUUCCGCAAUGGGCGAAAGCCUGACGGAGCAACGCCGCGUGAGUGAUGAAGGUCUUCGGAUCGUAAAACUCUGUUAUUAGGGAAGAACAUAUGUGUAAGUAACUGUGCACAUCUUGACGGUACCUAAUCAGAAAGCCACGGCUAACUACGUG
rnacentral:rRNA from 1 species